AUUGAACGCUGGCGGCAUGCUUUACACAUGCAAGUCGAGCGGUAACAGGCCUUCGGGUGCUGACGAGUGGCGAACGGGUGAGUAAUGCAUCGGAACGUACCCAGAGGUGGGGGAUAACGCAGCGAAAGCUGUGCUAAUACCGCAUGUGAUCUGAGGAUGAAAGCGGGGGACCGAGCAGCAAUGUUUGGCCUCGCGCCUUUGGAGCGGCCGAUGUCGGAUUAGCUAGUUGGUGGGGUAAAGGCCUACCAAGGCGACGAUCCGUAGCUGGUCUGAGAGGACGACCAGCCACACUGGGACUGAGACACGGCCCAGACUCCUACGGGAGGCAGCAGUGGGGAAUUUUGGACAAUGGGCGCAAGCCUGAUCCAGCAAUGCCGCGUGCGGGAAGAAGGCCUUCGGGUUGUAAACCGCUUUUGGCAGGAGCGAAACGGUGUCCGCUAAUACCGGGCGCUAAUGACGGUACCUGCAGAAUAAGCACCGGCUAACUACGUG
rnacentral:rRNA from 1 species